GUUUUUUUUUUUUUUUUAAGUAUCUGUCAUAGUCUGUUGAAUUUUUGAUAUUCAGUCUCAAACUAUGUUGAGCAUAUGCUCUUUUUAUUAAUUAGGAUGAUGCGAUUUUGCUUCCAAACUAUGCUGUAUUUUGUCAUGGCCUUGGUAUCAGCUAUAAUUCCUUUUAUGAGCUUUCAUAACUGUCAAAAGUUCGAUUGUUCUCAUAAAUAUGGAAGAUUGACCUCAAAAGUGUGGAAGAUUGAUGGGUGAUUUUAUCCAUUUUCAUUGCCAUUUAUAUAUCUAUUGCAUUCUCUCCCCUUGGAAGUAAAAGAAGAAUCGGAGAAUUUGAUCACUUAUCCUAUGGAAUUGCUGCAACGUUUGUGGAAAUUUAGGUGUGUUUGCAUGUUUGUUUUGUUUUUAUUCUGUCACCACCUUGAGAAGGUGUGAACGAAAAUUUUAGUAAUUGGUUGAAGUUGAUUAGGCAUUCAUAAUG
rnacentral:misc_RNA from 1 species